GUCCGGAAAUACUUGUCAUCAAAAUGAAUAAAAGGGGAUUAUCCAGAUGUAUUUUAGUUCUAGAUACAUCUCUUUUUGUCCAUUUUGAUGACAAGUAUUUUCGGAC
rfam:Triticum aestivum genome assembly, contig: Triticum_aestivum_CS42_TGACv1_scaffold_115808_2AS